rnacentral:rRNA from 1 species
UACGUAGGCAGCAAGCGUUGUUCGGAAUUACUGGGCGUAAAGAGUGUGUAGGCGGUGCUCUAAGUUUGAUGUGAAAUCUCCCGGCUCAACCGGGAGGCUGCAUCGAAUACUGGAAUGCUAGAGGGUGGGAGAGGUAAGCGGAAUUCCUGGUGUAGCGGUGAAAUGCGUAGAUAUCAGGAGGAACACCUGUGGUGUAGACAGCUUACUGGACCACUUCUGACGCUGAGACACGAAAGCGUGGGUAGCAAACAGG